rnacentral:rRNA from 1 species
GUUGUUGCAGUUAAAAAGCUCGUAGUUGGAUUUGUGGUGUGUCCAGUCGGCCUUUGCUCUUGGAUUGAUUGUGCUGUACUGGUCUGCCAUGUUUGGGUGGAAUCUGUGUGGCAUUAGGUUGUCGUGCAGGGGAUGCCCAUCGUUGACUGUGAAAAAAUUAGAGUGUUCAAAGCAUGCUUAUGCCGUUGAAUAUAUUAGCAUGGAAUAAUGAUAUAGGACCUUGGUACUAUUUUGUUGGUUUGCGCACUAUGGUAAUGAUUAAGAGGGACAGUUGGGGGUAUUUGUAUUCCAUUGUCAGAGGUGAAAUUCUUGGAUUUUUGGAAGACAAACUACUGCGAAAGCAUUUACCAAGGAUGUCUUCAUUAAUCAACAACGAUAGUUAGGGGAUCGAAGAUGAUUAGAUACCAUCGUAUUCUUAACCAUAAACUAUGCCGACAAGGGAUUGGC